CAUUCACUGGAUAUGCAAUGGAAUCCUUCUAAAUCAUGUUGGUGUGUAGAAUAGAAUAAACUUAAGGUCUGUGCAUUCAGUAAGUGACAUCUGAAGUUUGUCACAGGGAAGUACUGCAUACCGGUUGAGAGGGUAUACUUCAGUGACUUUAAAUCCAGCAAUGAUAUUUGAAGGUGUCACUGACUGUGGCUCCAAAGUUGUAAUGGUUGAUUACUUUACCAGGAUUAUUGCUAAAAAAGUUAUGACAUUCCUCUCCAACAAAUCUUUAAGGGACUAAAGGCUCCCUUAUUGAGAGGCUGAGUAUGGUGUGUUGUGUUUGGCGGCAGGUAAAACACAAUAAUCUUCUCUUCUGUUGCUUUGUUUACAAAUGUCGGACUAUAGUAACUAGAGUGUCCAUCCAAAAGGAGAAGUGGUCGAACAGGAGGAGUAUAAGCAAGAAAGUGAUAGAAAAACCAGUUUUCAAAACGUUUUGUGUCUAUCCAUCCCUUUAUGCUGAAGGCAAAUAGAGUGCCAGGAAUAGCUCCAAAAUCCGUGCCUUCUUCAAGACCUUUCCUAUUGUAAAUGAUCAUUGGCGGCAAGCAUUGACCACUAACACUGACACAUGCCAGUACUGUUAUUUGAGCCUUAGUGCCAGAAGAAACAGAGUAAAAAUUUUUCUGAAAAACUGUACUAUAAACUUUAAGAGUAUUCAGAUCUAGUGGGUCACCAGUUUCAUCUGUAUUAAUAAUUUGGCAAGGCCUAUGAAUCAAAUCAUUAUUGAUAAGUGUUUGGAACAUCAAAAGAAAACUUGGAAAGCUACUUUGAUUUACUGGAGCAAUUUGUCUAGGUCUUAAUAUUGAUUCACCAGUCUUCAAUGUCAAUUCUGGAUGCCUCGAGGCAAAUGACUUCAACCAGCUUGACGACACUUGUGUAUCAGUACCUUUUUAUCUAUGACAGCUUGAACAAGAGCAAGGGUAUCUUUCCUUGACUUCCCAUAUCCAAUAGAAGAGGGAUUUUGAAGAAGUAAUACCAACUGCUCCUCUUCCAUCGAGGUGAGAUAUUUCCUAGGCCCACUCUUUGUUCCAUGAAUGACUCUUCCAUGAAUCCAAUCAUAAAGUGUCAACACCAUAGUCCUCAGCUGCACUUUUUUACUGUGGAGCCCUUGCUAACUGCCUCCAAUGCCUUGGAAAUUUUACAAUCGGACCAGGAUUUAUGUGUAUAUGGUGUGGGACAUCCUGAAGUGGAAUGAUCCUUUCAGUGCACCAUUUGGCUGUGAACAUACACUUGGGUGCCGUUUUUUCUAGUAUAAACUUUGCUCCCACUAAUUUUCAAAACAGACCAGAGCAACAAAACACAAAUAAGCGAGCAGAUAAGCAAGUAAACACACUAAUUCACACCUUUUUCUUCCUUGUGAGGCUGGCAUGUGUACACGUGUCAAAUAGCCACACCCUCAAUUUGUCUAAUCAUUGCUGCAUUUCAGGUUGCAGUCAUCGAACUGCAAUAUCUCCAAGAUCACAGUAAAGUUUCAUUUGCAAUUUGCAUGACAAGUACACAAUGAAUAGUUCUUUAUUAUUGUGCAACAAAAGACCACUGCUCACUUUUGCAAAAAAGUUUGAGAUAAGAUGUCUGGUUAUAUAUUAAAAUCGUUUGAUCAUCAGCAGCACAAGAAACUUUUUAAAAUUGCUGCCACCCCCCCUCCCCCGCAGCUACCAGGAAACAAGAGAACUUUUAAUUUUAUUUCUCAAGCUAUGAAACCUAAAAGAUCAUUUUCAUAACAAAAGAUAUUGGAAGGAUCUACAUACAAGAAAAUAUGAGUGUCUGAAAUCAAGUCAGUCUGACUAUGAGCCACACCCUCUACAUUACAGAAGCAGGAUUUUAAUGAAAAUUUUACCCGAUAAAAAUUAAAUGUUACAUAUGGCGUAGCGGGUUUGUUUCGUGAGGAUAAACUUUCGUUUUCCAUCCUCAAAAUGACUUUUGUGAGGUUAAACAUUUGUUCUGAAGACGUUAAUAAGCUACCACGCCCAUUAAAACUGGAAUUUUGUUGGGUUAAUUGUUUGUUCUCCCAUCUUGAAGAACGAAAAGAACGAAAGUUUAGCCUUACGAAACAAACCCGCUAUACGGUAUCUACUGUAAUAUGGCGACAGUAUGGCAUUUAUGGUGCAUGAAUUCAAAAUAAAUACAAAUAUUUCUGAUACAUGUACAUGUACAGUACAUGUUCUUUGAGCUAAUUCUGAAACCCAAAAUAGCAAGUUGAAUCAGUAGAGUAAUACUGAUGUAGAUUUACCCGUAUACCUCUAGUGGCAGUGGGUAGGACAUGGAUACUGAAUUGAUGAUAAUAAUGAUAGUGAAAGAAUCUCUUUCAUUAAAAAGGAAAAAGAGAAUUAUUGUCACUGAAUUGUAACCAUGCAUGAAAAAGUUUGAAGGAAUGAAGAGAGGAAAAAAAAAUUGUCAUUGAUUAGUGAUCAUUUGACUCAUCAUGCAUGAUAUCUGACAUAGCAUAGCACAGAGUCUGCUCAGAGAAAAACCCACUAUAGAUACAGCGUAUGUACAUAUAAAUGAGGUUUCUUGUCCAUUUCAAAGUCUAUUGUUAUGCUAAUGAAUCCAGAACCUUUAUCAAUGUACUGCCCAUUGAUAGAUACCUUGGUCAGUGGACUACCUUCAAGUUCGUAUUUAAAAAAAUCUACAAAUAGCCAACCACCACAUAUUUUGAAAUUAAUUCUCCAACCUUAUCAGGAAUUCCACCAACAUGAGGAGUGGUAUUACUUUGAGAGCUUGUUCAGAAACCUAAUUAUCAUUACUUCAUAAGAUAUAGGCCAAGUUCACUGCUGUCAUCCAAUGGAGGAUCAGUACUGUUACUACCAUUAAAAUUCUUUUCCUCCUCCAGUCCCAUACCAUGAGUCCUAUUGACAAUAAGAGGAUUGAGUCUGCUUUUAAUAAUGAUGUCUGGCUAUCCAUGUAUCCUUGAAAUCCCUUUAAUGUUGCCAGAAAUAUGGUCUUGCAAACCAUUGGCAUAUUGAAUUACAUUAGAUUCAAAAGAAAGGCCUUUUUAGCUGUAUAAAAAAUUUCAUUCCUUAAUGAUGGAUAAUAUGCUUGAAAAGUGCCAAAGAGCCUCUUAAACCAUGUGUUCUUGGGUAACAAAACCCUGUUUUAUGAGGUAGACUUUUAGAAGCGAAAAUAGAGUCACUAGACGCUAUAUUUAUGGUAGAUAAUUUAUUUAUAUAUUUUCUUAUUGUCUAUUUAUCUUCAUCAGACAGGUCUCCAUCGAUUUUACUUUUGUAAUGCCUAAGCAAAGCAGGGUUGUCAUACAAAAAUGGGGCAAGCUUAUAAUGGGAAUGAAAGACUGGAGCAAAUAGGGUCUGACAUUUCAUCAGAAAUAUUCACAUCAAGUAGAUUACACAUUAGGAAAUAUCAACUGAUCAAGGAGUGGCAUGGUAGUGAUGAUCGUAAAUCCAUUUUGUGUAAUUAUUUACUGGUACAAACACCUUAUAAGCUGCUGGAAUAUCCUUUGACAGCUUUUGCAAAUGCUUAAAGGUUGCUUCCAAUAAAUCUAAAUCUGCCUUUAUUUUCAUCUUGAAGAUAAUUAACCAGUCAGGCAGGCUAUUUAAAUUAACAUGAGAUCAAAAAUCCCCUGAAUCCAAGAACCACAUUUUAUAAAAUUUGGUGCCAAAAUAAAGCAACAAUUUACUCGUCAUUUUCAAUACUGUAAAAAAAGGAAUAUGACUUAAAUGAAAUUAAUAAUGGGCAAUUAUAGAAAACAAUUCUUGGCUGUGUAUGUGAUCACUAUGUAACUAAGUAUGUACUAACUCAUUAGCUUGGGGGAUGUUGUGGAUGUUCAUUUAUUAUUCAUUGUUUUUGAUCUCAAAAUUCCACUACACCCUUGUUAGUAUUACAAAACUUAAAGAGCUAAAUAAUGCUAUACAGCUGAAAAUAUUGCCAUACACCCCAUUUGAACCACAUAACAUGAUUUCUAGUCACUUACCAAAUGAGAUAAUCUUUGUCACAAGAUCAUGGCACUUAGAUUGACUUUUCACAAUAGUGAUGGACAAUUCCGAGUCUAAAGUAUUUGAUCCAUUGAUUCUAAAUGCAGAAUAGAGGUGGGCGAUAUGAUACCAAAGUACUCAUAUAUCCGAUACCAGGCCUCCGAUACCAAGUACUCGAUACCAAAUCCUGGUAUCGAGUAGUGAGUAGCCACGCCCCACCGCACCUAUUUUAUUACGUCAUAAUUAUGGUCACACCCCUUAAUAAUUACAAAAUGGCGGUUUAUUUCUCUUCAUUUUUAUUAAUAACUAGUUAUAACUUAAUUGCGCAUGCGCAGUAGCUAACUACUCAUUCACUACUCGAUACCAUCGAUACUGUGACUCAGACUACUUGGUAUCGGUAUCGAUUCAAAAUUUCUGGUAUCGCCCACCUCUAAUGCAGAAUAAAGUGUGUGCUAAUGUACUUAUUGUAGAAAAUAGGUAGUUGAGUUCUAGUCAGGCAAGCCUGUGUCAGUACAUAUUGAGCAAUAGUAGUGUUAAACAAAGUGAGAAGGUUUAAUUGUGUUGCAGAUGCAUGCAUGCAUAUGACAUUAAGUGUCAGUAAUUAAAAAGUGUAAAUGAACACGUGUACAUGUACAUAUGACAAAAUUACUCUCUCUUUUUCUCUAACUUCACUGUAUAAUCUGUGAUACACAUGUUCUGCAUUACAUGUACAUGUACAUUCAUAGAUGUACCUUCUGUUGAUGAAAAUAGUUUAAAUCAUCAUGACGUACUAGACAAUGAGAACAGAUUAGUAAAUUCAGUUCAAUUUAAUGGAUUAACAAGAGAGGAAGGAGCUAAAGCUAUCACACAACUACUUGAGGUACCUGCACAUAAUUUUUAAAAUUGGCUCAAAACUUUGACAAAACACCCUGUACAUGUACAGUACUAUCAAAAAUUGCUAGAAGAAAACUCUUAAUUUUCAUUACAUUUAUUCUAAUGCAUAAACAUGUUCCUAUUUUGUGUAGCAAGUUUGGGCUGAUUUCGUUAAAAUUGGAUUUAAAAAAUUUUUUUUAAGUUGCUCCCAAAUUGGGCCAAAGUCUGGCCUGUUCUGUAGUACAGGACCGGUCUUUGGCUAAAUUAUUUUGUACAUGUGGCGGAGGAAACGCCUUUUUUGUUUGGAAAAUAUUCGUUCCACAAGGAAUGAGAACGAAAUUAAACUCUCGUGGAAUAUACCCGCUAUACGGUACAUUUUCCAAUGCACAUGCUUCUAGUAGUCAUGUACAUAUACUUACUGUACUGUAUGUUGUGUAGAAACUUUAAGCUCAUUUUAAUUUGAAUUGAAUUUUACUAUUAAAUUACAUGUACAUUUAUUUUUCUAUUACUAAUACCAGCUACAGUAUAGAUACAUGUUUAUUGUCCCAAAAAGGUGGCCCUGUACCUGCAAUGUACAUGUACAUGUGUACAUGUAAUGGGAAAAUUAUGGCAAUUAAAAAAUUAUUGUACUAUUACUCUAUUAUUUUUGACUUAAUACUGUAUAUUAUGGGCAGAAGGUAAAGGUGAGAUUACAGUAGCAUAUAGAUGGAGAGAAUGGUUAAUAUCAAGACAGAGAUACUGGGGGACACCAAUACCUAUAGUCUACUGUGACAAUGAACUGUCAGUUAUGUACAUGUACACCUAGAAAAAUUUACAGUUGGUUGAAGACUAAUGUUGUUCUUUUUUAAAUUUAUGUACACCAUAGUAGACUACAAUGUCAUGCUUUAUGUAUGGUUAUUAGUAUUAAUUACAUGGUUGGUCUAAGUGAUGAGCUUGUUUAUUUUUGGAGGUGAUUGUCCGGACUACCGGCCCCCAACCACACUAUAUGUAUAUUAUUAAUUAUGAUGUAAUACAUGUAUCAUCCUGACCUGAUAAUAAUCUAUACUUAUACUGCCUCAUUCACAUCAAUUAAGUGGAGAUGGCUUGUCACUUACCAGAAGCCAAAGAACUUAAAAACAACUUACCCUAAGUGUGGGAGUGUGGCAACACGUGAGACUGAUGCUAUAGAUACAUUUGUUGAUUCCACAUGGUAUUUUCUACGUUAUAUUAAUCCAAUGGAUGCUAAUAAUAUUGUUAAUAAGGAUCUUGCAUCACAGUGGCUCCCUGUGUACUUUUAUUUAGGAGGAAUAGAACAUGCUGUUCUUCAUUUAUUAUAUUCAAGGUUUAUAAUGCAUUUCCUGUAUGACAUUGGAGUAGUUCCUGUCAAAGAACCUUUCGAGAAACUUAUAACACAAGCACAGAAAGACAUUUGUUCAUAAAAGAACUGGUGAAUAUAUCAAAGGAUAUAAUGAAGAUGAUGGAGCUGACAGUAAAGAUGUUAUUGUUUAGUGGAAAAAAUGUCCAAGUCAAAGAAUAAUGGAGUUGAUCCAUUGGACAUUAUGGAAUUGAUGCCAUUAGAUUAUUUAUGCUAUAUAAAGCACCUCCAAAUCAUGGUAUGACCUGGGAGCUAUAAUGGUACAUUGUACAAAUUAAUUUUAUAUUGGUGCCAUGUGUAGAUUUAUGUGCAGAGUAUGGAGUAUAACUGGUAGCCGUAUUAAUAAAUUUAAUGAAAGGGAUGUCAGACAAAGAGAGAGUAUUGAUAGCGGCAAAGUCAUUCAGUUUUCAGUAGUAACAAGCAGAACAUUAAAACUGAUAUCAGAAGUAUUUAAAGAUACACAUGAAUUUAACAUUGCCAUUUAUCACCUUUUCUUAUUAUCAUCCAGGCUAAAGAAGUUGUUUUGAAGACUAAUGGGCACACUAGAGUAUCAUAAAUUAUUGCUGAUUUUUCUUCAGUUAUUAUCACCAAUGGCUCCUUAUAUCACAGCUCAAUUAUGGGAAGAUCUUAGACAAAAAAGUAUUGCAAUGGGUGAAGAACACAAAGGUUCAAUUUUUUAUCAAGAUUGGCUUCUACUGACUUACACAUAGUCAAUGAUUAUGAUCUAACAAUAGAGGUCAAUGUUGAAACACGAUUAAAAAUGAAAAGUAAAAACUUUAUUAAUGAUGAGCCACAUGCUUAUGAACUAUUAAAAGGGCAUCCAAUAUUGUAUGAUCAUGAAGAAGUACUUUUUGUGAAGGUGUUUCAUAGUGGAACAUUGGCUAAUUUUGUUGUAUAUUAAAUCAGUAUUUUUUGUCUUGGACCACAACUCAAACGAAAUGUUUUUUCA